GGUUCCAGUUGAUUUUUUUACAGUUUGAUAGAAACAACCCUGUACGACAUAAUUGAGACGACAUGGAGAAAUGUACUAAAGAAAACACAAUGCUUUUAUGUUGUUCGGUCGUCAGAUAUAUGUCCACUGACGGAUAGAACUUUGAUUCUGAAAACUAAGAUCUAGGAUAGAAAUUGCAGACUCUAAUCACCAUCAGUAUUGGAGGCCAGGUGCACUACAGCUCCUGCUAUGUGCAGAGUCCAAAGGGCAAGACCGCAAGGGUCUAG
rnacentral:misc_RNA from 1 species